rnacentral:tRNA from 4 species
CGGAGCGUAGCGCAGCCCGGUUAGCGCACCGGUCUGGGGGACCGGGGGUCGGGAGUUCAAAUCUCCCCGCUCCGACCA